rnacentral:misc_RNA from 1 species
CUCGUUUUCACGCAAAAAGCGGCUUACAGGUACGCUUGAGAAUUAGGCCUCUUCCCAAAUCAAUCUCUCUCCGAUCCCAUUGUUUGUCUUUUGAAUCAUUCAUUUCUACCUCCUUUUAUCAAGCGCUACCAGUUAGGGUUUGGGUUUUCUCCUUUGGAUUUUGCGCGNNCGCCUUUCUCAAUAACCUAUGGAGUCUACUCUGGUGAUCAAGGUUAGCUAUGGUGAUACACUUAGGCGUUUCAAUGCUCGUAUUGAUGAGAAUGGACAGCUUGAUCUCGACAUGAAUGGACUAAGGGCAAAAAUCAUUGGUCUCUUAAAUUUCCCUCUUGAUGCUGAUCUUACUCUGACUUAUGUUGAUGAAGAUGGUGAUGUUGUUACACUUGUUGAUGAUGAUGAUCUGCUUGAUGUGAUGAAACAAAGCCUGAAAUU